GUCCACGCAGUAAACGAUGAAUGCCGGGUGUCCGGGGAUUGGCCCCUGGGUGCCGUAGCGAAAGCGUUAAGCAUUCCACCUGGGGAGUACGCCGGCAACGGUGAAACUCAAAGGAAUUGACGGGGCCCGCACAAGCGGAGGAACAUGUGGUUUAAUUCGAUGAUACGCGAGGAACCUUACCCGGGCUCAAACGCCAGAGGGCGGUGGAGGAAACUCCACUUUCUUCGGACCUCUGGCGAGGUGCUGCAUGGUUGUCGU
rnacentral:rRNA from 1 species